GAAUCAAGUGAUGAAUUUGGAUUACAAAUUUCUCACGACGGUCGUCUGAGACACAUCGUGUCAAUUUUGAUGUAAUGAUCCAAUGUUUUCUGAUGAUU
rfam:Populus trichocarpa isolate Nisqually-1 chromosome 5, whole genome shotgun sequence.